rnacentral:rRNA from 1 species
UGGAAGCGCUGCAAGGCGUUGAGCUAACGUGUACUAAUGGCCCGUGAGGCUUGACCCUAUAACACCCAAGGGGU